UACGGAGGAUCCGAGCGUUAUCCGGAUUUAUUGGGUUUAAAGGGUGCGUAGGCGGAGAUUUAAGUCAGUGGUGAAAGUUUAGGGCUCAACCUUAAAAUUGCCAUUGAAACUGGGUUUCUUGAGUACGGUAGAGGUAGGCGGAAUUUGUGGUGUAGCGGUGAAAUGCUUAGAUAUCACGAAGAACUCCGAUUGCGAAGGCAGCUUACCGGACCGUAACUGACGCUGAGGCACGAAAGUGUGGGGAUCAAACAGGAUUAGAUACCCUGGUAGUCCACACUGUAAACGAUGAAUGCUAGAUGUUGGCGAUAUACAGUCAGUGUCACAGAGAAAUCGUUAAGCAUUCCACCUGGGGAGUACGCCGGCAACGGUGAA
rnacentral:rRNA from 1 species